UGAGGCAUCUGAUCAAAAUCCGCUUUGAGCUUAAAAAAUAUAUUUGUAAAUAUUUUUAUCUCUCAUGCCAGGGAAGAUCAGCUGAAUACUCUGGCAGCUGUUCAAGGGGCCCCACUGCUAUAAAUAAAAGUAUUUCAAGGUUGUAAAAGGAAAUUAGAGCCAGAGAGCAAAAGGUCACACUGACCAGAAUACAAUCAAGCUGCAAAAGCACAAUUAAGAGCUGGUAAAUAGUGAAAUUUAUUGUUUAACAGAAGACUCGAGCCAUAAGGUUAAAGGUUAAAUUGCAAGAGGAACAGCAGCUGGUUAGAAAAAAAAAAAGGUUUCUCUCCAAACUGUUUUGAAGCUUCAGAACUAAGAGAACUUAGCUUUUACUAAAUUCCUUUAAUUUGAAAAGGCCUUUCCUUCUAAAAAUCUAUCUAUGUUAUGUAUGAAAUAUAUUGGCUUAAAUGUGAUUAUGCAAAGGAUUUAGAAAGUAAGAAAUGUUAGAUUCUUAUGUUAGAUUCCUAUUAUGGUGGGUGAGAAGGUGAACUCAAGAUCUCUUUAAGAUAAAAAAAUUAGAAACCAUGCACCAUCUGCUUUAGCCAUCUGGUUUGCGGUGAAUAGGGCAACAGGGGCCAAAGGUUAUCUGGUAAUUGAGGUGCCUGGUCGAGGUAAAUGUAAGAUAUAUGGCUACUUGUCUGCCAUUUAUGGAUACAAGGAAAUAUAGCUUUUUGUCUCCCAUAAAAGGGAAUAGGAAAUGGGUGUAUCUUUUAUGAUUGGUUCUAGCAAACAGCCAAUAGGAAUUUCAACCAGGCUGAUUGGACAGAGGCAGCCAAAGGAGGAGCAAGGGGGCUGGGCUGAGGAAAUAUAAGUGCUGGCCAUCAGGGCUGGAGUAGGCAGAGCUUUGGUAUCCAUAUGCCACUGUGUCUCUCAUUUAUUUGUCUGACAAAUAAAUUAUUAUUUUAAUUUCUCU